rnacentral:lncRNA from 1 species
AUUGGCACUUUCAUACUAUGUUAAGGUUUGGUUUUUUAUUUCUCUAGAGUUCUCAGCAUUGUAACUUGUUAUUAUUUUAAGCAUUUCUGUUUUUAGUGUUGUAAAAAAAUUUUCUUAAGGUCCAUUAUUAGACUUUUAAGAUAAUUAAUGUUUUAAUCUUUUACUUUAGACGGAGAACUGAGAGAAGACGGCAGAGAACAGGAAAUCAGAGAUGGUGGUUCUCUCAAAAUGAUUCACUUUGGUCUGGUGUAAACAUUAAGAAAAAAAGAAAACUGCCUUCUUCAUAUCUAAACUUUUCAUGGCCUGAUACAGACUUAAAAUCCCCCGUGUGGAUUUUUAACAAGAGACAGUAUGAAUCAUAUAAAUUAGUUAAGAGUUUUGAGUUGAGUGUUUGUUUUCAAAAUAAAGUUUUAUUAUUUCAAAAACAUGCAGCAUAACAGCAAAGUGAUCGUAAGUAAAAGUCUUCAACCUACUUAUUUUCAAUAAUGUAAAAUUUUGAAAGUGUCUUAAAUUGUAUGUUAAUU